rnacentral:rRNA from 1 species
CAUCGCCUCUUGACCAAGUAUAAGAGGUCCAGCCUGCCCAGUGACAUAGUUUAACGGCCGCGGUACCCUAACCGUGCAAAGGUAGCAUAAUCACUUGUUCUCUAAAUAGGGACUCGUAUCAAUGGCAUCACGAGGGCUGUACUGUCUCCUUUCUCCAAUCAGUGAAACUGAUCUCCCCGUGAAGAAGCGGGGAUUGACCUAUAAGACGAGAAGACCCCAUGGAGCUUUAAACCCAAUAUACACCUCCUACGCACUCAAAUCAAUAUAGCCCAAGAGACUUGUGUAUCGGUUUUAGGUUGGGGGGACCGCGGAGUAAAAUUAAACCUCCACGACAGACGGAUUAACACCCUUAUCCACGAACUACAAUUCUAAGAGCCAAUAAAUUGUUGUCUAAUGACCCAAUUACUUGAUCAACGGACCAAGUUACCCUGGGGAUAACAGCGCAAUCUACUUCGAGAGCCCCUAUCGACAAGUAGGUUUACGACCUCGAUGUUGGAUCAGGGUAUCCUAGUGGUGCAGCCGCUACUAAAGG